rnacentral:tRNA from 1 species
GGCUGGGUAGCUCAGUGGGUUGAGAGCCAAGCCUAGAGGUGGGAGGUCCUAGGUUCGAAUCCAGCCUCAGCCA